AUCAACUGGAGCCCGGUGGGGGAUGCAGAAAUUUAUUUUGGAGGGGGCUAAUGUAAUUUAUAUGGAAUCAGAUUCACAUUCUUUUGCAAUAAAGAGCCUCCUUUUCAAUUACUGUGUUUUAUGUAAUGCAUGGAGAUGGGCAAUUAAUUAUAGAGCAGGGGAAGCUGCGAACACCAGUCUGCCAGUAAAGUGACUGGAGAGUUGACUACGGUAAGAGAAGGUGCAUGAAAAUAGACCAUUCCUUUUUGUUGCUGAAUAUCCAAGGAAACCAAGGAAAGCUACAGGAACAGAAACAAUGUUUUAUUAAUGUGUUCAUCACUCCAUUAUUCUGCUCUACGGAGAUGGGAAUCCACAAGCUGUCAACAGGAAUGCUCGUGAGGCCAACAGCGGUAAUGAAGCAUGACAACUAACAGCCACGGAACUCCCAAGGUUGCCGGCUUUUUGUAUGUUAAGAGAAGCAGGAGAAGGGAAGCAUCUACACCACAGAAGAAAUAGAAUGUGUCAGCUGUUGCUUUGAAAGGCAGAAUUAUUCAAAGCUGGCAUAGGUAAGCAGUAAGGACAAUGUCCAGUGAAAAAACAUAGGGUCCUUGGUAGGGAAUUGGGAUAAAUUCAGUUCCUCAUUCUUCCCCUCAGGCAUUCUUGUAUUGUCUCAUCAUUAUGGCUGUUUCUCAUUAGGCCUGUGGCUCUUUACACAUGUUUCAAUAUGUUAGCUGAUAUGUUUUAGCUUGAAUGAAUAGGGUUUUGAGCCACGGGCACCUACAGUUAAGGAUUCAUUGAUUUUACUGCCCAGCUGCAGGGCCAGCAGUAACACUUGUGCACAAAAGAAGCUAAGAAAGUUAGUUUUAACAUAGAACUGGGAGAGGAAACGUAGAGGCAAAUUUGUUUUGCAGCCAUUUGUAUAUCAUCAGGGUUUGCGGCUCAGAAUGAGUUGCAAAUGUUCCAAGAUUUACAGUAAGGUUAUCGCACAUUUAAAAGAUAUUAGUAAUUAUCUAAUGACAAUUGCUAAUUAUCUAAUAUCUCUUCAUCCCAUAGUUUUUUUUUGGGGGGGGGUGAAGGCAUACUAGGGAUUUAUGAAACAUGUCUCUUUAGCUGAUGCAACAACUAUAGAGAUCUCUGGGGAAACCCAUGACAGUUAAAAAGACAGGCCCUUACAAUAGUAUAUGUACUAUAUAUUCCAUCUUAUUGUUGUUGUAUUACAAUGAAUAUGUACUUGAUGUUAGAAUCCAUGUUGUGGGGAGAUGGAUCCACAGCUGAAUAGUCUUUCCCAUCUGCUUUUCUGUGUGCACCUUAUGUGCAGCUGCCUGAUGGAAGCAGGAUGCUGGUAGAAUCUUCUAACAAUAGAAAAGUAACUUUUGCUGAUAGAAAUAUCUGAGCUGGUCAAAUGGUUUUCUGUGGUGGCAAAGACCCAGUCUUGGUCCUGAAAACUCCUCAGAAUGUUGUGAAUGUUGAAAACUCAUUUAGCCAUGAAAGACUUUGUAGCCAUGAAGUCAAUGAAGGUCAAAAAAAAAAAAAACCAAAUACAAACAAAUAAACAACAACAAAACCCUACUAUACUACUUGAA
ensembl:lncRNA